rnacentral:lncRNA from 1 species
CGCAGAGGUAAAACCAUGCACAUUUGGGUUAUUGUACACGAAAUGCAUGCUACAAUUCAUUUUUGUUGAUUUUAGACCCUUUGGAACUCUAUGUGGGCUAUUUUUAGCAACUAGGCAAACAAUCCCCAAACUAGAUACACGGUUAGAUUCAGCAUGUCAACGAAUUCCAAAUAUCCAUAUUAAAGGACUUUUGUCUAUAAAUUUGGACCCCAC